rnacentral:rRNA from 1 species
AUGAACGCUGGCGGCGUGCUUAACACAUGCAAGUCGAACGAUGAAGCCCAGCUUGCUGGGUGGAUUAGUGGCGAACGGGUGAGUAACACGUGAGUAACCUGCCCUUAACUCUGGGAUAAGCCUGGGAAACUAGGUCUAAUACCGGAUAGGAGCGCCUACCGCAUGGUGGGUGUUGGAAAGAUUUAUCGGUUUUGGAUGGACUCGCGGCCUAUCAGCUUGUUGGUGAGGUAAUGGCUCACCAAGGCGACGACGGGUAGCCGGCCUGAGAGGGUGACCGGCCACACUGGGACUGAGACACGGCCCAGACUCCUACGGGAGGCAGCAGUGGGGAAUAUUGCACAAUGGGCGCAAGCCUGAUGCAGCGACGCCGCGUGAGGGAUGACGGCCUUCGGGUUGUAAACCUCUUUCAGUAGGGAAGAAGCGAAAGUGACGGUACCUGCAGAAGAAGCACCGGCUAACUACGUG